rnacentral:lncRNA from 1 species
GAUUGCAUCCAUGUCAGCUGCUAAAGCAUCCCUGUGGUUCUCAGAGAGUGAAGAAAUCUUUUCCUUCAACAUCUGAAGUACCUCUGCUGAAACCAGGCCCUCCAGCAAGUCAAGUUUACGCUGAGACAGCAGCUGUGAAACAACGGAAAAGGCCUGCUUGGCGCCGCGAGUGAACUCCUCGAUGCUGAACUCCGAGUCGAAGUAGAGGCGGAUGAGCAGGUAGUAGAAGCGGGUGCGGAGCCACGCCAGGGGGUUGGUGAUGCGCACCACCACCACCCGCCGCUGCGGCCCCUCUCCCUCCGGCCCCUGCGGACCGCUGCUGGGCCGGGACGCGCGCUGCGAGCGGGGCUGCGCGGGCCGCCCCCGGCGCCAGGAGCGCGCCCGCCAGCCACCGGGCACGCCGGGGAGCAGCGCGCAGCGCCAUCAUGGCGGCGGUGCG